rnacentral:rRNA from 1 species
UAAACGACUCUCGGCAACGGAUAUCUCGGCUCACGCAUCGAUGAAGAACGUAGCAAAAUGCGAUACUUGGUGUGAAUUGCAGAAUCCCGUGAACCAUCGAGUUUUGAACGCAAGUGCGCCCGAAGCCUUCCGGCUAAGGGCACG